rnacentral:rRNA from 1 species
UACGUAGGGUGCAAGCGUUAAUCGGAAUUACUGGGCGUAAAGCGCGCGUAGGCGGCUUUGUAAGUUAGAGGUGAAAGCCCGGGGCUCAACCCCGGAACUGCCUUUAAAACUGCAUCGCUUGAAUCCGGGAGAGGUGAGUGGAAUUCCGAGUGUAGAGGUGAAAUUCGUAGAUAUUCGGAAGAACACCAGUGGCGAAGGCGGCUCACUGGACCGGUAUUGACGCUGAGGUGCGAAAGCGUGGGGAGCAAACAGG